ensembl:lncRNA
AGAGAUACAAGCUGUUCCAGCAAAAAUAGACCUCAUGUGUAACGAAAAAAGAGCAGCAUGAUAGCUCACUGUAAAAAGAUAAGUUCAUUUAACUUUAUACAUUUUCAGUAAAACUAACUUUUUUAUUCAAUUUUGUAAGUUAAAAAAACAUUCUUGGUCAAGUAGCUUUAGUAAUUAGAAAUUGACACUGACGAGAAGACAGUGACUUUUAUUUGUAAUGUGAAAGCAAAAUACCUAGUAAAAAAUUAUUAAUAAGGAAUGUUUCUUUAACUUUAACACUAAGUUAGUGUCACUUAAAAUAACAAGUAAAAUGUGCUUCAUCAAGAAUCUUUUUUUACUUAUAAAAUUGAGAUUGUAUUACUUAAAAAUUUAGAUGUAAUCCCGUUUAACAUUUUUUUAGAGUUAAAAUCACUUACCGCAUUACAGUGCUGUGAGUGAGUCAUGAUGGAAGUUGGCAGACUGGCUAGAAUGGCUGUUUGUAUUCACUUCCCAAGCAGUGGGGAAGAAUCUGUCAUGUUUUCAGGAGGACUUCCCAGAGGGAAGCAGAUGUUCUUUCAUCAAGCUCUCCAACAGGGUAGGAGGAAGGAAAGGAAUUGGAAAGCAGAGGAAGGAGGGUCGAGAGAGAGAGAGAGUGAAAAAAAUAUAAAGGAGUGCAAUACAGAGGGAAGGAAAGGAGGCAGACGUGGUGGAGAAUUAGAUGGAUUUGAAGGAGAAGAGGGUGGCUCUCUUGGGCUCAAUGCCAGACACUGCUAUAAUGCUUUUCCUGCAAUCUGUACAUUAGCAAAAGCAUGGCUUGGCAUCACAUUUGAAAUGCUUUCCACUUGUGUCUUUUUUCUCAUUCUAAUCAUUUCACAUUUCACAAGAAAAUUAAAGUUGUGUUUCCAUUCGUUAUUUUUGUUUGUUUCCUUUCGAUGUAAUCAAAUCCCAUUAACAGACUGUACAAAGAAUUUGUCGUUCUGGUACAUGCAUGCACUGCUUAUUACCCUGGUCAAGGAGGUAAUGUUCGUUCGGGAGAAGUGCGAACACAUCUAGAACAGCAUUCAGUGCCAUUCUUUCUUUGCCAUGCUCUUUUGUCAAUGGAGAAAUACGAAAUAAUGAAGGUCUGAAAUAACUGAUGCUAGCAGCAUCUACGCUAACCUCUUUAGUAGCCGCCAUUGUUUUUGAACAGACGUGGUGGAGAAUUAGAUGGAUUUGAAGGAGAAGAGGUGGGCUCUCUUGGGCUCAAUGCCAGACACUGCUAUAAUGCUUUUUCUGCAAUCUGUAUAUUAGCAAAAGCAUGGCUUGGCAUCACAUUUGAAAUGCUUUCCACUUGUGUCUUUUUUCUCUCCAGGAGGGAAUUUUCAAUUUCAAAGCAUUCCUGCUAACAAACACUAUAGUGCUUAGUGGAGAACUUUCAUUCAAAGUGGGCAUCGCUGAGUGUUUUCCUGUUUAAUUAUUUACAACCUUCUUAUUUGAAUUGCAGAUCUCGGCUGCUCCAGCGUAGCACGUGUUUUUGUCCCUGCUAUACAGACUUACAACCUCUCCAUCCGCUCGUUUCGCCUUGCAGCAGACACAACAGGUGCCGUGUUAAAAAAAAAAAAAAAGGGGGGAGCCCCGCUUAAUGAGAAGAUCAGUAAAUCAUAUGUUUACAG